GAUGAACGCUAGCGGGAGGCCUAACACAUGCAAGCCGAGCGGUAUUGUUUCUUCGGAAAUGAGAGAGCGGCGUACGGGUGCGUAACACGUGUGCAACCUGCCUUUAUCUGGGGGAUAGCCUUUCGAAAGGAAGAUUAAUACUCCAUAAUAUAUUGAACGGCAUCGUUUAAUAUUGAAAGCUCCGGCGGAUAGAGAUGGGCACGCGCAAGAUUAGCUAGUUGGUGAGGUAACGGCUCACCAAGGCGAUGAUCUUUAGGGGGCCUGAGAGGGUGAUCCCCCACGCUGGUACUGAGACACGGACCAGACUCCUACGGGAGGCAGCAGUGAGGAAUAUUGGUCAAUGGGUGCAAGCCUGAACCAGCCAUCCCGCGUGAAGGACGACUGCCCUAUGGGUUGUAAACUUCUUUUGUAUAGGGAUAAACCUACCCUCGAGAGGGUAGCUGAAGGUACUAUACGAAUAAGCACCGGCUAACUCCGUG
rnacentral:rRNA from 1 species